AGUGAACGCUGGCGGUAGGCCUAACACAUGCAAGUCGAACGGCAGCACCGUAAGAGCUUGCUCUUACGUGUGCCGAGUGGCGGACGGGUGAGGAAUACAUCUGAAUCUACUUUUUCGUGGGGGAUAACGUAGGGAAACUUACGCUACUAACGCAUACGACCUACGGAUGAAAGCAUGUGAUCUUCGGACCUUGCGCGAUUGAAUGAGCCGAUGUUGGAUUAGCUAGUUGUCUGGGCAAAGGACCACCAAGGCAAGGAUCCGUAGAUGGUCUGAGAUGAUGAUCAGCCCCACUGGAAUGGAGCUGCGGCACAGACCACUCUGCGAGGCAGCGGAGGAGAAUAUUGUACAAUGGGCGGAAGCCUGAUCCAGCCAUACCGCGUAGGUGAAAAAGAGCUUCGGGUUGUAAAGCUAUUCUGUUGGGAAAGAAAAGCAGCAGGUUAAUCCCCCGCUGUUCUGACGGUACCCAAAGAAUAAGCACCGGCUAACUUCGUG
rnacentral:rRNA from 1 species